rnacentral:lncRNA from 1 species
CUCUCUUUUCUCAUUUAUUGCAUGACACAUCAUCAAAAAUCCUAUGUGUCAAAAUUACCAACAACUAUCUUACAACCAUUGGAGAUGCCCUAAUAAGUAUAUGCAUGAUUAGAAGUCUGCAACUACUUUUAAAUGCUGAAAUGACUUGGAUUUGAUGGUAGAGUUCGAUGCACUAAUGCAGGUAUGCCUGCAUUGCCUAGAUGCAGAGCAUUUUCCUCUUGUCACGCCGCACGUGCAGCCCACGUGACCCCUCCUUCUGCUAACUUUACUACUCCAUCAGCAGGAGUUCCGAGAUCUCGUCCCCUGAAUAUUUUUCCCGGGAGAUCCGGCAGCAGCAGGAGAUUGGAUCUCCGUGUCCCCGUCUCUCAUCCCCGUUGCUUUUGUUUUUCUGAUCUCUUUCUUCUUCAGGCUAACCCGCACUUUAGGUUGUGCUUCAGUUUCAGCACCGUGUCGUCUCAGUUAAGGACAAUUCAGCAGAUUUGUCAGUAAGUUCAGAGUCCCUUCGUCUGGAAAUAGAUCUGUAGAUCGCAUCUUGCGCCCAUACCCAGCUAGCGUCGAAGGAGAGACGGAAACUAUGUGCCAACAUUCAUGUUACCAGCACCGAAAAAUGAUUCCGUGGACACGAAACAUGGCCAACCUGCUAGUGCUAGUACGAUGGAGGUAAGCAGCCAUUGACAAAGUGAGCUGUGGCCUUGAAGCGGCUGUCCCCGAACCCAAGAACACCAGUUCAGGCGCUCGCCCGGAUCGAAAUCGCCUUUCUGGCCGUGUCGUCCACAUGUGGCGCAUCUCAGGUGUUGGGAGAUGGCAUCCCUGAUCCGUCCAUCUAUAAUUGGAGCAAUCGACUCCUGCUGCCUAAUAAGUUGUUAGCUUGUGUUGUGGUAGGUCAUCGCCCAACCGUGAUAAUAGAUAGAUCCAGAACUACUUCCCCAUGUCUGCAGGUAGGUAGAUGUGACCCACGAGCUGGAACAAUCGAUCCAGGAGGUUUGUUCUCCCUUGCAAGUUUUAAUCGUCCAGAAAAAAAAAACGAAUCGCCCGUGCGGCGAAUGCGAAAGCAAG